rnacentral:rRNA from 1 species
GGUUCUGUCUCAUAUAGGAAGACCCGA